UACGUAGGGGGCUAGCGUUGCUCGGAAUGACUGGGCGUAAAGGGCGCGUAGGCGGUUCGUACAGUCAGACGUGAAAUUCCCGGGCUCAACCUGGGGGCUGCGUUUGAUACGUGCGGGCUUGAGUUCGGAAGAGGGUCGUGGAAUUCCUAGUGUAGCGGUGAAAUGCGUAGAGAUUAGGAAGAACACCAGUGGCGAAGGCGACUUACUGGACUGUAACUGACGCUGAGGCAUGAAAGCGUGGGGAGCAAACAGG
rnacentral:rRNA from 1 species